rnacentral:rRNA from 1 species
CCCUUAGAUGUUCGGGGCCGCACGCGCGCUACACUGAAUGGAUCAACGUGCCUUUCCCGAGGCUGAAAAGUCGAGGUAAUCCGUUGAACCCCAUUCGUGACGGGGAUAGGAGCUUGCAAUUAUUCUCCUUGAACGAGGAAUUCCCAGUAAGCGCGAGUCAUCAGCUCGCGUUGAUUACGUCCCUGCCCUUUGUACACACCGCCCGUCGCUACUACCGAUCGGAUUGUCCUGUGAAUUUCUAGGAGAGUUGAGGUCCUGGCGCUUCGGUGUCGGCGACCUCAUGCUUGAAUUGAAUGGAACUGGACUCUCUAGAGGAAGUAAAAGGCGUAACA